UUGUAACUCGGUUUAAAACUGUGGUACCUCUGUAUGUAUUCCUUCAAGAGAUGAAGAGCAGAAUUAGACAUUAUGAAGUCUGUAAGCCAAGUGAUUAGCCUCGUCAUUAUUAGUGUGGUGGUGAUUAUUAUCCCACCGCGCGGGGCAUCGCUUGGACGAAGAAAGACCUGAUAAGAGGUCAGAAAUUCAAGAACCCCCGCACUGAAAAGGCGGGGGUUUUUUUAUGCCUGAUAACAAUAACUGGCGCCAAGAGCGCA
rnacentral:sRNA from 1 species